UCUUGGUCAUUUAGAGGAAGUAAAAGUCGUAACAAGGUUUCCGUAGGUGAACCUGCGGAAGGAUCAUUACAAAUCGAAUGUGUGCGUGUUGUUUGGGGAUUGUUGGUGGUGUGGGUUUGUUAAUCUAAUCCAUGCCUCCUCUUCUCCUCUGCAGCACGCAAACAACAUAUGCACAGAGCUUCAGUGAGGUUAGCCCCACUGUGCUUUGAUGUUUACGCUUGCUUGUUUGACAGAGUUAUUUGUACCUUUAAUAUUGACAACUUUUAACAAUGGAUCUCUUGGCUCUUGCAUCGAUGAAGAACGCAGUAAAGUGCGAUAUGUAGUGCGAUUUGCAUGAAUCUGUGAGUCAUCUAAUUUUUGAACGCAACUUGCGCCUCUCUGAGGCAUGUUUGUUUGAGUGCCGCAUACCUUUUGCAGCAAUGCGACAUGACCUCUGUCUCUGGACUAGGUUUAAAGGCAGCCAGAUGGGUAGAAUACACUAAUCCGAGUGCUAAGCAUUCUCAGGCUUUAGUGUGGUUUUAUCCACGGUGAUGAAAGCACACUUUUCUUUCACCAUCUUGACACUUUUGGCCUCAAAUCAAGCAAGACUACCCGCUGAACUUAAGCAUAUCAAUAAGCGGAGGAA
rnacentral:rRNA from 1 species